rnacentral:pre_miRNA from 3 species
AGUGGAAUUGCUGGGUCAUAUGGUAACUCUGUGUUUAACUUUUUGAGGAACUGCCAGACUGUUUUCCACAGCAACUGAACUAUUUUACAUUCCCACCAGCAAU